rnacentral:lncRNA from 1 species
GGCACCAUUACCUAUUUUAAUUAGCUUAAUUUCAGUUGCUCUGCGUAUGGUCUAUGGUUCCAUAGCUAAAAUGAACAAUAAUGGUGACAAUUAUCUGGUACCAUUAGACAACAGGAACGUAUCAGAAACAAAGCCUGAUGCAUAUACUUCUGCUGAUGGUCUGCAGUACAGUGCGAAAACCGCAUCAAUAAAAGAGGAAGGCAAAUUCAUCCUGACCAUCACCCCUCUCAGAUAGUCCCAGUGUAUUCUAUCAAAUGCCUUCUCAGCAUCCAAAGACAGACGAAGGAAAGGUGUCUGAUCAAUUUUAAUUUGGUGAAUCAGAUUAAUGAAUCUUCUGGUGCCAUCUGGUGCUUGUCUGCCCAUAACAAAUGCCACCUAGUCAUUGUUAACAAGCGAGGGCACAAGCAUAAAGCCAAUCGGUUUGAUAUUUUAGCAUAUAAUUGUAGAUUAUGCUAGCUUUAGUGUACCUAUAAUCUUAAUUUUAUUAAUGACAGGAGGCGAAUAUUUGCUUGAGUCUCUCUUUACUAGAACUCCACAGCAGCACAGAAAAAACAACCAAUCCGAAAAAAGUAAAGUACUAUAAAACUCCCUUCCUCAUACAUCAUUUCCUCUUUCAAGCUGCGACAAAACAGAACAAAAGGAAGAAAAUAUAAUAGAGAAAAAACAAAGUCCUAGAUACAAUGAAUACAACAACGUCCAUCAUCCGAGAAGAACUGUCAAACCAGCUAGCGUUGAGGGACUGUAAGCUGAAACGAGAGAAAACAGAAUCGAACAGGUUGGUUAGCCAAUGAAAUGUACGCUGAACAACAUGUAAGCACCCAGUGAGAUAACCAGAAAUACCAUAACCUGCAUAGAUCCCAACCUUUACUUAGGAAACACGGACAUAAGAACAAGUGACAGGUAGCAGAGACAAUAAGCAGAGUUGCAUACCUACCUGAUGAACCCAAACUAUAAAAUUUAAACAAGGGAGGGAUAAGAAUGGGAGGGAAAUAUUUGCCUCCUGUCAUUAAUAAAAUUUAUAUUAUAGGUACACUAAAGCUAGCAUAAUCUACAAUUUUAUAACAUGACAGGAGGCUUCAUAUUUGCUGUUUUAACGCUCAGCCAACAAAUCCAACGAUGAUUGUUUCGCUGGUACCGAUUCUGGGAGAAGACUAGAGCAAUCCCAAAUGGACCUUCCAAUAGUGAGAAGUGACAGCAGACGGUCUCUGAAGGUGUCAACUGUCAAUGUACCACCAAUUACGGAAAACACACAAUCCGCUGUUAUAUCCACUGUACGUGGGAUAGUGAUCAGUUUCCUGGAGCACGGUCCAUGAACUGCCAAGUCAAUCAUUAACCAUUUUCCUAUAGGUCUAUCUUCCAAAGAUCAUAUACGGACCUGGAACCGCAGGAGGGAAACUGUCAACCUGUCACGACCCUUGAUGUGGAAGAUGGCUCCUCCGAUCAUGCCAAGGUCACCAGGUGGUGUGACCUUGUCGUCAACCUAUGCAUUUGAGUCCACCAUCAAUUUCGUAACCGAAGGGUCUUCACCCUUCCAAUCAUAUUUAGGUGCACAUAGACCGGUGUCCCUUCAGAUAGUCUGGUAGCAGUGCCUACCUGGACACACACCUGUCUCUGUGACAAUAGUGUAUACUGAGAUACCUCAGUAAUAUUCCCCCAGGCCUGCGGCCAAAGGGGGUUCGAGUUCAGACCCACACCGGUCGAUAAAUAUGGCACAGCCAGAGCGGGCCAAUCGAAUGUGUACAGACAGAGCAGGCCGACCAGGGGCACAGACAGAGCAGGGCGAUCACAGGGGCACAGACAGAGCAGGGCGAUCACAGGGGCACAGACAGAGCAGGGCGAUCACAGGGGCACAGACAGAGCAGGCCGAUCACAGGGACACAGACAGAGCAGGCCGAUCACAUGGGCACAGACAGAGCAGGCCAAAUAUGGGUGGUCUAUUAAAGAGUAAUAAGGGACCUCUGUGUUUGGGAAGAGUCCCAUGACUACCUGUAAAUCCUCAGGGAAUCCUGUGAUACAAAACACUCAGACACCAGCCCCUUUAGACAGUGUAAUACUGUCUGAAUAAACCUUAACAGGAACUGGCUGUCCCUUAAUGCCCAGCAGGCAAAAUAGUGGUAUUCCAGCUGUAGUGGAUAAGCAGUAGUUGGUCCAGUGAUUAUAGUGUCCAUUAACUCAAGAGGUACUGAACCAAUCUUUCCUUAAACUGUGAAUUGCUCUGCACAUGUAUAGAUAGUCAUGUUUGAGAUUUCUUAUUUUUAUUACACCUCAUGAUACCCCCUGAAGGGCAUUGCACCAGUGGUAUAUAUCAUUAAGAGGUGCUAACCAAUGAAAAUGGCUAAUAUAAAGAAAGGCUAAGUCAGGUCUGCAAGGUAUUUAACCUUCCAUUUUAGUUGUGAAUGAUAUAGAAGCUGGAAACUAACCACUGAGCUAUCACUCAAGCUUGUUACCAGCUCAAUAAAACACCUAUUGAGCCUGGAAGGAACCCCUGUCAAACUCUAAUCGGAACAUUAAAUAAUGAGAAGCAAAUAGACCCUAGUGCAAACCAGCAGACUGGAUCUGUAUACGCCCUGUUACAGAGCCAGCGGGACAACAAUAUACCCGAGAUCCGACCUCCGUGGGCGGAGGAGGGGCCGCGAGCAGGUGCACCCUCCUCUAGCCGGUCGGACGCACGCAGCUCUUUGAGGGAGCCAGCCGCGGCGAGGCAGCCACAUGCGAGAAUGGGUCCGGCCGCCGGGUAGUCGCGUCCGUCCGCAAGUACCCCAGAUGCCAGCAGGCUCACACUGGAGCUCGGGGAGCCAGAGGAGGCAGCCAAACGACUAGCCUCCUGAAAGCCCAGGCGAAGCACCCUUGGCCCGCAUGAGGAAAGGGCGGGAAAGUAACAGAAGGGGGCGCCAGAAAGCGGGGUAGCCGAGGGGUCUAAGCCGAGGGGGGUAAAUGCAAAAAGGCAGGGUAAACUGAAAAGGAAACCCCAGGAAGCCCCCAUAAAAACCACCACACUAUAAACAAAACUAUCCCAAAGCAAGCAGGGAAAGCAAAAACCAAAUAUCAAAAAGGGUAGUAGUCCCAAAUAAACUAAAUAUAACUAAUGUAAAUCAUAAAUCAUAAUAAAAUCCCAAACCCACCCACUAGAAGCAGGAGGCAGUGGUACUCUGACCUGUACUGAAUGCAGA